UACGUAGGGUGCGAGCGUUAAUCGGAAUUACUGGGCGUAAAGCGUGCGCAGGCGGUUCGUUAAGUCAGAUGUGAAAGCCCCGGGCUCAACCUGGGAACUGCAUUUGAAACUGGCGGGCUUGAGUGUGGCAGAGGGGGGUGGAAUUCCGCGUGUAGCAGUGAAAUGCGUAGAGAUCGGGAGGAACACCCGUGGCGAAGGCGGCCAUCUGGACCAGCACUGACGCUGAGGCACGAAAGCGUGGGGAGCAAACAGG
rnacentral:rRNA from 1 species